GCAAACUUGGUCAUUUAGAGGAAGUAAAAGUCGUAACAAGGUUUCCGUAGGUGAACCUGCGGAAGGAUCAUUAACGAAUUUGAUUUAUAUCUUUUUCUGUGAACUUCUCUGUCUUUUAUGGGGCACUUUUUGUGCUCCUGAGGCGGUCUUGCUUCGGCGCUGGUAUCUUGGUACUGGCGCCGGUAGAAAACUCUUAAAACUUUUGUCUAAAACCAAAGAUUUUAAUUAAUUAAAACUUUCAACAACGGAUCUCUAGGUUCUCGCAUCGAUGAAGAACGCAGC
rnacentral:misc_RNA from 1 species